UGAGCAAGUGYUGACCACACAGCAGUGGAGACCACAGACACCCUGCAUAAGGAUACUGUCCCAGUUUCCUCUUCCUACACACCUGUUUGCCUCUGAUUAAAAGGACUGGGAAUCACUAAACAGGAAAUUCAAGAAAUCACAUGCCUAUUGUUAAGAUGCUGGAUCAUUAAAAGUCAGAAGCACAGAGCAUCCGAGCUGCCUACUGCAGACGCCUCCUCUUCCAGCUCAUGGAGUUGGAUGAGCUCAUCCUAAUUACACGGAAAACUGAAGGGAUGAGCAAAGGUCUAGCAACUGUAUCCUGGAGGACGGCACCGCCGAAGGCCUGCAGAUGCCUAUUUGGGAAAGGAGACUGCAAGCCUUUCUCAGGGAGAAGAAGUGGGGCUUGCUGCCAGGGAAGUUUUCAAGCAGAGCUGGGUGACCGAGCAUGUGGGUUGA